rnacentral:lncRNA from 1 species
AACAGUACGAAAUGCGACGCCACGCUGAAGUGCCGCGUUCGGAAAUGAAAGUGGCAACGAAAGUUUGAGAGACGCGCUGUGGAUGCUUUGUAACCGUCAUAAUAAAGUUAUCAUUGCGCGCGUAUGUGUGUGUGUGUGUGUGUUAGCACUCGGAUAUUAUUGUCACCGCCAGAUGAAAUGUGAUCCAUGUGUAUAUUAAUACGUCUUUGCCAGAAAAGGAGAGCGCAUUUUAAGACGGCCAACGCCGGGACGCGUGGUCCAUUAAUUUUCUUACGACGCGCGACGGACAAAACGCUAUAUUAAAACUUGUCGUACUCGCGUCGUAACUCUAUUUCGGUGCAACAUAGCGGCCAUUUUUCGUCCGAGGCGUGUCCGGAGCGUCGGGCACGUAUAGGCCAGACGCAUCAUGGAGGACGAGGACAGAGAUCCUUCGGCUUAGGUUUAUCCGUUUACCCGUCCGCUACCGUCCGCCCGCUUUUGCCCGGGCCUUUACUUGUUUUAAGUGAAGCGCGACGUGACCUACCGCAAUCCCCUCCGCGUACAAUCACAUCGGCUUCUGCGUACCGUCUCUCUCUCUCUCUCUUUCUCUCUCUCUCUCUCUCUCUCUCUCUCUCUCUCUCUCUCUGUCUCUCUCUCUCUCUCUCUCUCCGAACCAAUCUCUUUUGCGGAGACAUCCGACGGAAUAUCAGGAUAUUUCGAAAUCCCGCAGAUUCCGCUGGACGACUUUCAGAGACCCAUCCUGUUUCGUACGCGCGUGCGAGAGGAAGAUCUUACUUAGUCCAAAAAUAUAACCCGAAUAUCAUCUUCUCUCAAUCUGCGAUCUCUCUGAAAGUUUCAUACUUUGAGACUCGAGACGGCAAAGAGCACAUGUUCAACGUGAAGGCGUUAAUUAUUCAAGAAACAUUUCGACACCGAGAACGAGAGAGAGAGAGAGAGAGAGAGAGAGAAAGAGAGAAACAUUUUCGCGGUGCUCGCAAAAUGUAUCCGGCUCAAUCAGUCUCAAUCAGAGGUAUUUUAGCGACAAGCUGCACUGAAUAUGUCAUGCAUGCGACCUCCGUCCUCGUCAUCUUGAGCGAGAAGCUCUCGCUCGACGAACAAAAGGUCGGCGAUCGCGGAACGAUCGACCAUUGAAUUAUUCCGUCGUACCGCCUCGCUGUCGGGAUAGAUUUAUCUUUCCCACGGACAACGUCGCUAUCUCGAAUCCGUUACGGUAAUCUCGAAUUUCGAGAUUCGAAAUGGGAACUCUCCCCCCCCCCCACCCGGUCCCUCAUCUUCGCGGGAUAAACGAUAGCCGCUAGCGGACGCAAUAACAACGGCGUGUAUCGAUCUUCGUGAGCCGGCAUCUGGCACUAGGUCCAGUUGUGUUGCCGGGCUGAGAGCAUUAUUCUUGUUCACGCGGGACGACGAGGAAAUCAACAAGAAAACCGGAGGAAGCUUCUCCCGACCCGACCCGAGCCGAGCCGGCCCGGUCCGCCAGAUGCUGCUUUGCCGCCCGACCAUUUCUCAACGUGGCCGUGAUUACGCGCAUCGCUCCGCACUUACUACGACGAACUCAUGUUUUUUCCAUAGGCGGCAAAUUACAUAACGAGGUGCAGACACGUAAUACCCCCCGAACCCGAGGCGCGAAAUCACGGAAGGUCGACAACGGGGAAAAUCGAUUCCCGCCGAGUGAGCAAACUCGUGCACUUAUAACGCGCGAGAAUAAACUCAGAAAUCGCAGACGAUGCCGGCAGAAAAAGAGCACUAACUGGAAAGCGCAUCGCGUCCCAGACAGGGAUGAGAAAAAUGAGAAAAGAUUUGCCCGUUUUCCGCUUCAAAAGCGCCAGAUGUUCCCGCCACUCGGCCAUUUCUCAACGACAUCGUGAUUACACGCAUCACUUUGUAUUACCGCAACAUCACGUCUCUCGUUUUCUUAUUUAGCCGCCAAAUGCGCACGGCGUAAGCGUACAGAUAUAAUAACGGAUCUCUUAAAAUUCUUUUCUAUUAUGUAAUUAUAUUAAAAUUUGUGUUAAUAUUCCGCGAUUAUUUAAUCGCCUCGCCUCACGUCUAACUCGUGCGUUUCGUUGUUUGUGUGAACUAAAAUUCAAUAUCACCACACGGAGGCAUAAA